CGGUACUUUUGUGGACAAGACCCUGUAGAAAGCAUUAAGGAAUGUCUCAAAGCCAAAGUUAAUAGUAUACUAACAAAAAGAAUGAAAACAAAGGGAUUUCAAAAGGUAAGCUGUAUAAUGUUUUCAUGUGACGACUGAUCAAUGCUUUACUGGUUUCUUUGUACCUUGAAUAUAAGGGUUUCUAGCUUAGGACAAUUCUGUAGAAGGGGCGGCAAUGAAUCCCAUCCAAGUUCCGAGAAGUGCUGUUCGUUUGGUCGCCGCAGGUCCCGGCGUCGGCGUCAGCGUCUGUUCGUGCGGCCAACUCUUGUUCGUUUAGUUGACGCAAAUAGCUGCGUCUGACGCCGCGUCUAGACGCCGCGUCUGUGCGUCGAUCGCCGAAAAAACCUGCGUCGGCGUCAAAAAUUCAGCGUCUGAGCUCUCUCCAUCUCUCUCUGUCUGUCUCAGCCUCUCCAUUGCAGCUCUUCUCACUCUCGAGUCUCGCCAUAGCUCUCUUUUCUCAGCCUCUCUCCAUCUCUCUCCGUCGAUCUCUCUUGUCUCAGCUUCGUCAUCGCUCUCCGUAGAUCUAUCUCGUCUCAGUCUCUCCCUAUCGGCGUUCCUCUCAAGUUCAGACCCCUCAUGCUCUCACUCUCUCGACGACGCUCAGACCCUCUCAAGCUCUCGACGACCAUCUUACGCACUCUCUCAAGGUCAUCACUCUCAAGGUCAUCACCUCUCUUUGAGCUUCGACCAAACCCAUAUCGAGCUUUCUCUUCUCCUCCACAGACGACGCCUCUCGAGCUCCCUCGUCUCCUCCACAGACGACGCCGUACAGUACAUUCAUGGUUUAGCUGCUAAAGGAGUACAUUAUAUUCAUCGCCCUGCUCCUACUCUCCAGGAUCUUGGCUUCUUUCUUCUUCCGGAGCUUGGUCAAGAGAGAAGCUACAUAAGUGAGACCCUCUUCACUACUGUUUUUCUUUCUUUCUUCCUGGCUUCGUUUCACUUCUGCCAUCAUACUUAACAAAAGUAUCGAAUCUAGAGAAAGUGACUGUUAAGGAUAUAGCCCCUCUUCUUCGUUGGGUCUCAAGCUCUCCCAAGCUUCUCUCACUCAAGCUCUCCCAAGCUCACUCUGUUUCUGUUCUUGUCAAUGAAACUGGCUCCUGUAAAUCCAAGGAUGGAGUUUAAUGCUAAUCCUGCUUUAUCCACAGAGGUAAGCUUGCACUGAUAAUUAUGGUUAUAAGAAGUUACGUCCACGUGUUAAUCCUCAUUUUGAUUUGAAGUUUAUCCUCAUUUUGUUCUUUUGUUUUGACCGGAUAUUUAGAAAUGUCUAAAACGAUACAUACUUAUGUUAAGAUUGAUUAUAAUUAUAAAAUAUUUUGAUGUAUUAUUUUUAUUUUUAUUUAGCUUAUGAUUUAUGACAUCAAA